GAUGAAGAACGUAGCGAAAUGCGAUAAGUAAUGUGAAUUGCAGAAUUCAGUGAAUCAUCGAAUCUUUGAACGCACAUUGCGCCCGCCGGUAUUCUGGCGGGCAUGCCUGUCUGAGCGUCAUUUCAACCCUCAUGCCCCUAGGGCGUGGUGUUGGGGAUCGGCCAAAGCCCGCGAGGGACGGCCGGCCCCUAAAUCUAGUGGCGGACCCGUCGUGGCCUCCUCUGCGAAGUAGUGAUAUUCCGCAUCGGAGAGCGAUGAGCCCCUGCCGUUAAACCCCCAACUUUCCAAGGUUGACCUCAGAUCAGGUAGGAAUACCCGCUGAACUUAAGCAUAUCAAUAAGCGGAGGA
rnacentral:misc_RNA from 1 species